AAAAAAGCUGUGCCGAAGACAGCAGGUGCCGAAAGGCGUAAAUGCUUGGUCCGCUGAGCUCCCUGCCGAGGAGAGAGAAGUAGAUAUAAAGCUGGAUGCUUUGAUUUUCUGUUCUCCGGCAUAACCGGAGAUUUUUUAUCU
rnacentral:sRNA from 1 species